CAGGGAAUAGUUUAUUAAAAUAUUAAUUUUGGAGAUUAAAGAAAGGGGUAUCCUUUUCCUUGA
rnacentral:tRNA from 1 species